rnacentral:lncRNA from 1 species
GAACUUAAUUUUAUUCCUACCUGGUGAAUUCUGAAAGCAUUUUGGUUAUUGGAGAUUGGUGGUUAUUCUUUUGUAGAAAAUAGGGUGACUAUUUACGUUGCUGGUCCACUGUCUCCCAUCACCCCCUACUCUGCCUGUGCCAGGGAGAGUAAGUAACUCCUGGGCUUCUCUCACCUCUCUCAAAGUAAUAAUUCCUGCUUUUCUUUCUUUUGUGCUUACAACUGGGAUCCCCCCCCCCCACUUCUCUCAAGAGCUCAUCAUUUUUUGUUUGAGUUUGCUGUGCUUGAACUCCCUGUGCCUAAGAUAGAUUUAGAGCUACACAAAUUUAAUCUUGAUGUUAGUUGCUUGUUUAGAAAGAAAGAAAAAAAAAAAAAAACCCCUGUUUCCCCAAUUCAGUUUUGAAUCAGAAUAGCUCAGGGUUUGAAAAAGAAACAGUUUAGAAGCCAAGAACCUCUCUAAGUUAUAAAUCCCCAUGUUGCAUUUCUUAUGCAUGUUUGAUGCACAGCCAGAGACGGAUAUUUGAUGCCAAUUUUGUGCAACUCUAUAUAUCUUUGGAAAUAGCAUUGGCUCUUAACUUCCUUAUCAUAUUAACCAUAAUUCAUUUUGUUAGGUAUCGAGUAUAAAUGAUAAAAUAUCUUUACAUUUUAAACUUAAGAAAUUGAAAGAUUAUGCAUAUUUGUGGGGUAUCUCAUGAUGGUUCAUGAAAUGUCUCUUUAAAUAUGAAAUCAGAUAUUGAAAGAGCAUAAUUAUGCCUCUGUCAAUCAUCUCUUCAUGGCAUUCCUAGUUCCUUCCACUUUUGCUUCAGUCUAUUGGUCAUUCUUUAUAUACUUCAACAAAAAAUGAGCCCAGGAAGAGAGGUGGUUUCCAGUUCAGACAUCUCUUUCUUUUUACUACUGCAGCCCUGCAUUGAGUCAAGGGUGUGUUGUUUGUGCAUGGGGUAGCAAUGCCUAUUUAGUUGUUCACACUUUGAAUGUACUAUUGAUUAAAACCAUUACUCAUUCCUGCUUCUUUGUCCUCAAACUGACUCUUAUUUCUUUGUCUCUGGAGGUCUCUCUUGUCAGAUGGAGUCAUCAUUUCAACCGUCACCCCUGGCUUGAAAGCAUUAGUACCAUUAGUACCCGAGGCAGUGGCAGCCAUGUUGGGUUGUCCAGAGCUGUGGAUAGGUUUUCAAGAAAAUGCAUAUUAAUGCUGGUAUCUGCUAGUUUUAAUUUUGAGGUUUUCAGGACUUUGGAGGGGGAAAAAGACACGUAUAAACAAUUGUCAAGUUUUAUUUUACUCAUGCAUGAUAUAUUCUGUAAACGUCUUGAAGGAAACUGGCUAAGUCUUAUUAAAUCUGUCAGCAUGUGGUCAGACUGAUGGCUGUAUGUGUGGUACAUACAAAGCUCUAGCUUCUUCCACAGGGUCGUUUCUGCCUUUUAAACCUAGGUUUGUUUAAUUGUUGUUUUUGUGGGGUUUUGUUUGUUUGUUUGUUUUGUUUUGUUUUGUUUUGUUGGUAGUGGUUUGAAUAGAGUUGUAUAUAACAUUUAUCUCUGAUAUCUUUUCUCUUAUCUUCCAAAAUAUUCUUGUCAGAAUUAUCUUUCAGUGUGAAGAAGCAUAGGUUUUGAAUAAAACUGCCUAGGUUGAAAACCAGCUCUCAUUGAGUGGCCUAGGGCUAGUUAAUGAAUUGCUCUAAGCCUUUGUUGCUUUCUGUAAAAUCUGAAUUAAAACAAUGGCUAUUACUUAGGUCAUUUGUCAGGGGGAAAUAAGUUAAGAAAUAGUAAAUAUCAAGCUUUCAGCAAGGUUUAUCUUUUUCUUAGUAUUUUUUAAUGAUUGUUUUAUGUAUGUAUGCAUGUAUGUAAUUGCAACUUUUAGUAUGAUGAAGUGAUUCAAGUUGUUUACGGAUGUAAAGUUAUGAACACUUUAAGAGGAAGGGCUUUGUAGAAAGAGUAAUUAAUACAUGCCAAGCUUUUACACGGAUCAAUGUUAUUUUCAUAACGAUAUAAAUACAACUCACAGAGUAACUUUUAGUUUCUUUCCCAGAAGGAUUACAGGUAUGUCAGCUUUUCAGUGCUGUACUAAAACACCUAAAAUUUCUAAGGCAAUCAGUUUAUUUUAGCUCGUGGUUUUGGAGGUACCAGGUGACAAGGGGGCGAGUGGACCCAUCGCCUUUAGACCUGUAGAAUACACAUUGGGUAGCACAGAGCAGUGCCUCAUGGUUAGAGUGUGUUAUAUAGUGAGCUGUUCAAUUCUUGACUGAGAAGGAGAAAGAAGAUGGAGAGACCUGGGUCCCACAGUUGUCUUCAAUGCAUGCCAAGGUACAAUAUAUUAAUUAAACCUCCCACAAAGCCCUUCCUCUUCAAGGGUUCAUUACUUCCCAGUAGCACCAAGCUGGGAACCAAGCCAUUAAUAUACCUAGCUCUGAGGAACAAUCUAUAUCCAAACCCUGGCAGCAGCAUACAA